CCCUCUGGGGUGCAGCCGAACAUCAACGCUUGCUGAGGGAUGGCGUUAAUCAGGAAGGCAUCGGCGCGGUGCGGUCCCUCGAUCGGCACGCCGUACUUUUGCGCCAUCUCGGCGGCGCCGCCGGCGUGGUCGAGGUGGCCAUGCGUCAACAGCACCUUCUGCAGUUGCACGCCGGCCUUGGUGAUUGCCGCGGCGAUCCUCUCGACGUCGCCGCCGGGAUCAAUGACGGCGGCCUCAAGCGUCUCCGUGCACCACAGGAGAGAGCAGGUCUGAACGAACGGCGUGACUGGAAUCACCGCCAGUUUGAGGGCAGGCGUCGGCAUGGCGUGGACCUUCGGGGUCUGGAAUGGGCGGGAGGGC
rnacentral:rRNA from 1 species